GUAAGGAAUAUUGGGCAAUGGAGGAAACUCUGACCCAGCCAUGCCGCGUGCAGGAUGACAGCUCUAGUAGUUGUAAACUGCUUUUAUAUGGGAAGAAAAGCACCUACGUGUAGGUGUCUGACGGUACCAUAAGAAUAAGGACCGGCUAACUCCGUGCCAGCAGCCGCGGUAAUACGGAGGGUCCAAGCGUUAUCCGGAUUUAUUGGGUUUAAAGGGUGUGUAGGCGGAAAAAUCAGUCAGUGGUGAAAUCCUGCAGCUUAACUGCAGAACUGCCUUUGAUACUGUUUUUCUUGAAUGUAGUUGAAGUGGGCGGAAUGUGUCAUGUAGCGGUGAAAUGCAUAGAUAUGACACAGAACACCGAUUGCGAAGGCAGCUCACUAAGCUAUUAUUGACGCUGAGGCACGAAAGCGUGGGUAGCGAACAGG
rnacentral:rRNA from 1 species